UAGAAAGAUGCUCAUUUGGUAGGGCUUUUAGCUGUUAACUAAACUUUUGGGGGAUCGAAGCCCCCCUUUCUAC
rnacentral:tRNA from 1 species